GACGAACGCUGGCGGCGUGCCUAAUACAUGCAAGUCGAACGCAGUGGGGCCGGGUGAGUAACACGUGGGUAACCUCCCAUCAGAGGGGAUAACACUUGGAAACAGGUGCUAAACCGAUACAGAUGGAUGGACCCGCGGUGCAUUAGCUAGUUGGUGAGGUAACGGCUCACCAAGGCCACGAUGCAUAGCCAACCUGAGAGGGUGCUCGGCCACACUGUGACUGAGACACGGCCCAGACUCCGACGGGAGGCAGCAGUAGGGAAUCUUCGGAAAUUGACGAAAGUCUGACCGAGCAACGCCGCGUGAGUGAAGAAGGUUUUCGGAGCGUAAAGCUCUGUUGUAAGAGAAGCGGUAUCUUACCAGAAAGGGACGGCUAACUACGUGCCAGCAGCGGCGGUAAUAC
rnacentral:rRNA from 1 species